rnacentral:lncRNA from 1 species
GCCAGCGCCCCCGCCUCCCCGCCACGACAGCGCUCCCCUGCCGGGGACUUUGCUCCUCCUGCCGGUGCGUAUUUUUAGCCUCUCCCCCCACCAAACACAAACACCACCUCCCCGUCCUCUUCUUGCUCCCAGGCAGCCAUCCCAGCUGCAGGCGGACCCCUCCCGGGCCUGAUUGGGGUGGAGAGAGUGGGGCGGGAGAGAGAAGGGGUGGGAUCCUGCAAAGGGCUCUCUGCAAGAUGCGCGCAUUUGCAGCUCGCCGGAGGCGCUUUCCAGAAGCGCGCCAGGCGCUCUCGAACACACACACUCCGGACCUCACCCUCUCUCGUUCCUCGCAAUUUCAUGCCAGCGAUCCUGGGAUCAUAAGGCGAUCUAUACACCAUAAACCUAUGGCGCGACCGCAUUGGGAAGGCUGCACGCGGUUCUCGCUGCCAAAGCGAUGUGAGAGAGUUGGGACGGGCUCGGGAAACGGCAACCAAAACGAUCAAGGGGCUGGAGCGACUCUCCUGAAAGGUUGCAGCGUUUGGGGCAUUUUAGAUCAGAGAAAAGGCGAGGCAUUCCUGCAUUGCAGGGGGUUGGACUAGAUGACCCUUGGGAUCCCUUCCAGCUCUACAACUCUUCUAUGCCAUGGGUAGGCAACCUAAGGCCCGGGGGCCAGAUCCGGUCCAAUCACCUUCUAAAUCCUGCCCACAGAUGGUCCAGGAAUCAGUGUGUUUUUACAUGAGUAGAAUGUGCGCUUUUAUUUAAAAUGCAUCUCUGGGUAAUUUGUGGGGCCUGCCUGGUGUUUUUACAUGAGUAGAAUGUGUGCUUUUAUUUAAAAUGCAUCUCUGGGUAAUUUGUGGGGCAUAGGAAUUCAUUAUUUUUUCCCCAAAAUAUAGUCUGGCCCACCACAAAGACUGAGGGACAGUGGACCAGCCCCCUGCUGGAAAAGUUUGCUGACCCCUGUUCUAUGCAGUUACAUGAUAAAAAGGUAAAGGGUAAAAGGACCCCUGGCCAUUAGGUCCAGUCAUGGCCGACUCUGGGGUUGUGGCGCUCAUCUCGCUUUACUGGCCGAGGGAGCCGGCGUACAGCUUCCGGGUCAUGUGGCCAGCAUGACUAAGCCGCUUCUGGAGAACCAGAGCAGCGCACAGAAAUGCUGUUUACCUUCCUGCUGGAGCGGUACCUAUUUAUCUACUUGCACUUUGACGUGCUUUCAAACUGCUAGGUAGGGACCGAGCAACGGGAACUCACCCCGUCACGGGGAUUCAAACUGCCGACCUUCUGAUCGGCAAGUCCUAGGCUCAGUGGUUUAACCCACAGCGCCACCCGCGUCCCAAGUGACAUGAUAGACAUUAAUAAAAUCGUGCAGGGCAUGGCGAGCGUGGAGAGAGUUUUUCUCCCUCUCUCAAAACACUAGAACUCUUGGACAUCCAGUGAAGCUGAAGGUUCAGGACAGAUAAAAGAAGAGACUUUUUCAUGCAGCACAAAAUUCAACUGUGGAACUCCCUCCCCCAGUAAGCAAUGGGGACCUUAAAUGGCUUUAAAAGAGGGUUAGACAAGUUCAUGGCGAGGCCUCGGCUCUGCCUUCACAGCUGGAGGCAGCAAGGCUUCUGGACACCAGCUGCUGGAAACCACAGGAGGGGAGAAGGUUGGCCACUGUGAGAACAGGAUGCUGGACUAGGCUGGCCUGAUCCAGAAGGCUGUUCCUAUGUCCUUAUGGGAAGCCAGGGACCAGGCUUAAGACAUUCCUGGAAUCUAACAGGAACGAACCCUGCUGCAGAUACACAAACAAAUCAGCCAUUUAUUUCCUCUGUUGUUGUUGUUGUUUAGCCGUUUAGUCGUGUCCGACUCUUCGUGACCCCAUGGACCAGAGCACGCCAGGCACUCCUGUCUUCCACUGCCUCCCGCUUAUUUCCUCUAAGUUUCAUUAUAUUGCUGGUUAGUGUUUUAUGGGGAUUUUCUAUUCUGUUGUAGAUAUUUAAUUCUUACGUAUGGUUAGCAACUGUCAGUCUCGGGACUGUCCUGCUGGAAGACUGUCUGGCCAGAGUGGUGCAUGCUCUAGUUCUCUCCCACUUGGACUACUGCAAUGCGCUCUACGUGGGGCUACCUUUGAAGGUGACCCAGAAACUGCAAUUAAUCCAGAAUGCGGCAGCUAUUCAAAGUGCUGGUGUUGACCUUUAAAGCCUUAAACGGCCUCGGUCCUAUAUACCUGAAGGAGCAUCUCCACCCCCAUUGUUCUGCCCAGACGCUGAGGUCCAGCUCCGAGGGCCUUCUGGCGGUUCCCUCACUGCAAGAAGCCAAGUUACAGGAACCAGGCAGAGGGCCUUCUCGGUAGUGGCGCCUGCCCUGUGGAACGCCCUCCCGCCAGAUGUCAAAGAGAUAAAUAACUACCUGAC